UACAGAGGUCCCGAGCGUUGUUCGGAUUCACUGGGCGUAAAGGGUGCGUAGGUGGUGAGGUAAGUCGGAUGUGAAAGCUCCAAGCUCAACUUGGAAAUGGCAUUGGAAACUACCUUGCUAGAGGGUUUGAGGGGGGACUGGAAUACUUGGUGUAGCAGUGAAAUGCGUAGAUAUCAAGAGGAACACCGGUGGCGAAGGCGGGUCUCUGGGCCGAUACUGACGCUGAGGAGCGAAAGCGUGGGGAGCGAACAGG
rnacentral:rRNA from 1 species